AGGCCAGACUCCUACGGGAGGCAGCAGUGGGGGAUAUUGCACAAUGGGGGGAACCCUGAUGCAGCGACGCCGCGUGGGUGAAGAAGUAUUUCGGUAUGUAAAGCCCUAUCGGCAGGGAAGAAAUUGGACGGUACCUGACUAAGAAGCCCCGGCUAACUACGUGCCAGCAGCCGCGGUAAUACGUAGGGGGCAAGCGUUAUCCGGAUUCACUGGGUGUAAAGGGAGCGUAGACGGUUGUGCAAGUCAGAAGUGAAAGCCCGGGGCUCAACUCCGGGACUGCUUUUGAAACUGUGAAACUGGAGUGCAGGAGAGGUAAGCGGAAUUCCUGGUGUAGCGGUGAAAUGCGUAGAUAUCAGGAGGAACACCAGUGGCGAAGGCGGCUUACUGGACUGUAACUGACGUUGAGGCUCGAAAGCGUGGGGAGCAAACAGGAUUAGAUACCCGCGUACG
rnacentral:rRNA from 1 species